UUAUUGACUGUUAAUGGAGAAUAUUAAAGUGUAGCUCUAGCUAGCUGAACCAUUUACAAGCUGGCAAACUGUAAAUGCUUUAUAGUGGUCCAAGUUUGAACUUUAUACUAUCCUACCAUUUUCCCUGCAGCUAAAAUACACUGACCAGAACCUAGUAGUUACACUGCAAAUGUGAGGAACGGUCAAAUCUAUUAUGUCUCUGGGGUAGAAGGGGAAAGCGCGUUCAGUUCUGCGGGGAAAUGGACGCAAAUGUGCAGAAGCCUGCUUAAAUCGGUGAACCUUGUGCUUAAAUAAGACCAGAAUGAUUAUCAAAUAUCUCAUUCCGAUACGCUGAUUUUAUUAAUAUUUGCACUCUUUCCCCCCUGUUUCGACCCGUCAGAUUCAGUGAUCCAGCCGGACCAUACCACAAAAAUCAUAACGGCAGAAACACGGGUUUUUACCGCCCCGCGCUAGCAUCAUAAUUGAAGAUAACUACAGAGAGGCAGCCAUUAACGUUACAGAGACACGGAGGCGGUCGUGUCUCUUCUCCUACAUACCUUCGCCAUCAUUUUCACCAAACCGAGUGGAAUUUUAAACGAGUUUAAAUAUAGGUGGAUUCCUCUAUAGAAACAUCUCAAAGAUCAUCCAAAGAAAUUCGAUGCACCUGAGCGAGUGUUGUAAUCUGAAUACUUGUUUAUGUGAUUAAAAAAACAAAUGUA